rnacentral:lncRNA from 1 species
AUGUAUGCCCUAGAAGCCAAUCUGGCUGACACAUUGUUAAUUCUAGGGACAUAAUUUUGUACUUUACUAUUUAUUAUUGAAUAAAUAAAAGGCAUCUUUUCAUUCAUAUUAUUUAUGUGUCUAUGAAUCGUCCAAGAAAUUAAUAAGAUGAUGAUGCAUAUUCUCAAAAGUUGAGAAUUUGAGUUAUGUAUCAUUGGUGAUUAAUUUCUAAAUGCUCCUGAUCAAUGAAUCAUCACGAGGACGGUGAUCGAUCCGAUCAGUGCACAGAUCACUUUCCUUCUGGAUGGAUGAGACUUGAGUCCACAGUGUAGGGACACUGAAGUGAUAGUGCAGGUGCUUGUUAGAGAACAAGGGUACUGAGCGUGACUAAGACAAGAAGUUAUUUGGAUGUCUAUCCAUUCGUCAGUGACUUGCUUGAUGUUGCAGUAGUAUGACUAGUCCUUUGACCUGCGGUGCUUCAGCUACUCACAGUGAGGUUAUUGUAGUUUGACUACACGU